UACAGAGGGUGCAAGCGUUGUUCGGAAUUAUUGGGCGUAAAGCGCGUGUAGGCGGCUUGACAAGUCAAAUGUGAAAGCCCACGGCUCAACCGUGGAAGUGCGUUUGAAACUGUCGAGCUUGAGUGCCGGAGAGGAUGGCGGAAUUCCGCAAGUAGAGGUGAAAUUCGUAGAGAUGCGGAGGAACACCGGUGGCGAAGGCGGCCAUCUGGACGGCAACUGACGCUGAGACGCGAAAGCGUGGGGAGCAAACAGG
rnacentral:rRNA from 1 species